GAUGAACGCUGGCGGCGUGCCUAAUACAUGCAAGUCGAGCGAACAGAUGAGGAGCUUGCUCCUCUGACGUUAGCGGCGGACGGGUGAGUAACACGUGGAUAACCUACCUAUAAGACUGGGAUAACUUCGGGAAACCGGAGCUAAUACCGGAUAAUAUAUUGAACCGCAUGGUUCAAUAGUGAAAGACGGUUUUGCUGUCACUUAUAGAUGGAUCCGCGCCGCAUUAGCUAGUUGGUAAGGUAACGGCUUACCAAGGCAACGAUGCGUAGCCGACCUGAGAGGGUGAUCGGCCACACUGGAACUGAGACACGGUCCAGACUCCUACGGGAGGCAGCAAUAGGGAAUCUUCCGCAAUGGGCGAAAGCCCGACGGAGCAACGCCGCGUGAGUGAUGAAGGUCUUCGGAUCGUAAAACUCUGUUAUUAGGGAAGAACAAAUGUGUAAGUAACUAUGCACGUCUUGACGGUACCUAAUCAGAAAGCCACGGCUAACUACGUG
rnacentral:rRNA from 1 species